GUCAGCUCUACUUCUUUCUUCUCUGGUUGGAGUUUCAGCACUUCCAGGAGGAUGGAGGUCUUUCUCUCUGAGAGGUUUAUGGACCAGACUGCAGGAGCUGACUGGAUAACUGACUGUAAUGAUGAUUUUGACCGUCUAUUUCCCUAUGCACAGUUUUUUGGAAUUUCUCCUGUGGUGUCAUGAGCCUGAGCCUGAGUGUGAGAGAGUGAGAGCACUCUGCACUUUGGACACUUUGGAUCUGCUGCCCAGAGUUCCUUUUCCCCCUGCACAUUGUUGAGAUUGUUGUAAAUAUUUUUGGCACUGUAAAUAAACACACUGUUGAGCUCCUCCAACUCUACGUCUGAAUCCACCCACUUGUUAGCCCUGACACUAAGGCUGCGUUCACACUGCAGGUCUUAAUGCUCAAUUCUGAUUUUUUGAUCAAAUCCGAUUUUUUUUGUCUGCUUGUUCACACUGCAAAUAAAAUGUGACAGCAAACGCGCUCUAGUGUGAACCCUCAAAGCGGCCCGCAUGCGCAAAAGAAGACGUCACAUACAACGUGCUCUGUUUAGACCCAGAGCAAACAACAUUGUUUGACUGAUGGCCCUUAAUAUAAAGACUUGUUUCGGACUUUACGUUUCCCAAUUUUGCUUUAAGUUGUAAAGUUAUUUUGUUAUUUACAUAUGGCCUAAUAAUGGUCCUUAUUGCUGUUUUAGAGAGUUUUAGAGAGCGGUGCUUCAAAGGAUAGUUGCAGAUUUCUGUCAGAAUCUGCAGAUUAUACAGAACAAAUAAAAUGUUCACUUUUCUCCAACGUUGUCUUCCCAACAGUUUCACUGACAUCUACACUGGAUGGCCAGGAAGCGUUCACGAUGUCUUCUCCAGAGCUGAUAAUUGGCGUCUGUCUUGUGUGAGUGACGUAAAAGACGGAUUUAAUGCGACAUGACUGUUCAAACAGCAGUCGCUUUCUAAAACAUCAGAUAUGUAUCGGAUUCAGUACCACAUACGAAAGUGACCCAGGACGGAUUUGAAAAUAUCGGAUCUGAGCUGUUCACACUGUCAUACCAUGAUCGGAUAUGGGUCGCAUAGGGUCAAAAAAGUUGGAUUUGAUGCGCUUUUGCCUGCAGUGUGAACGUAGCCUAAGAGUUCAGGCUGUGGUAAAAAGGUUGUUAGAAUUUUACAAACUGUUUCUGCCCUCUAUGCUGUAUUUCUAUGUAUGUUUGCACAUGUUUCAGCUGAAGAAAAGGUCUA
ensembl:lncRNA